rnacentral:lncRNA from 1 species
CAGCUCAUGACAAAUACAGACAAAGUGGGUCACUUUGAGCUGGUGCAAGUUACAGAAUCAUCAAGCUCUGUAGGAGUCGACUGGUUUCAGGAGAGCACUCAGCAUAAUCCUAGAUGACGAUAUUGGAGAAUGAUCAAGAAAUUGGCUUCGGUAUCCAGAUACAAAGACAACAGACCACUUCAGCCAUGGAUUAAGAGCAUUAGCAAUCAUCUGUGGUUUUCAUGUUCAUCUUGUGGAGGUGACCCGGAUUUUUUAUCAGGUAAGCUUGAAGUGUUCCAUUCACUGCUCCUGAAGUACUGCCCAAAAAGAAUACACUUCCAUUACACAUCAAUGCUUGCACGUACCCAGGUGGCAGUGCUUGACCACAAUGAGAAUGUUCACAGACAGCAGGCCAGAACCAACACUGGUAAGUUUGCUAUACAAUACAUCACUGAUUGUAAUUUAAUAUUUCAGUACAAAUAUAAAAAAUUUUAUUUAUUUUUUGGUAGAUACGCCACGGUUCAGUGUAGUGUUCCCCAAGCACUCUAAACAGUGGGUGGCCAGAAAACUGUACGAGUCCCCAACUCAAAAUUUCAGAGAUGAUCUUGUACGUUGAGUAUUUGAGAGGCGCAUGGACAGCACUAUUAUUUACAAGGACUCUUCUUCACCUUUGGUAAUAUAAUCUGUCCCAAAAAACAUAUUGCAGCAGACCAAACCAUCUAAGGAAGACACAGUCGCAAAGCAUUUGUCACAAUUCUCAAAGUAGUUUUUUACAGACCAACAACAGUGUAGGUUAACUUUACGAAGUGACGCUAAUAAGUUCCACAUUGCAUGGUGGUUUUCUUUAGGAGUGUGUGUGUGUAUGUUUGACAUUGCCUGUUACAGUAGUAUCCAAAAGUCAAUAUAUCUGUUAAAUAACUAAAUGAGG